GACGAACGCUGGCGGCGUGCUUAACACAUGCAAGUCGAACGGAAAGGCCCUGCUUUUGUGGGGUGCUCGAGUGGCGAACGGGUGAGUAACACGUGAGUAACCUGCCCUUGACUUUGGGAUAACUUCAGGAAACUGGGGCUAAUACCGGAUAGGAGCUCCUGCUGCAUGGUGGGGGUGGGAAAGUUUCGGCGGGUGGGGAUGGACUCGCGGCUUAUCAGCUUGUUGGUGGGGUAGUGGCUUACCAAGGCUUUGACGGGUAGCCGGCCGGAGAGGGUGACCGGCCACAUUGGGACUGGGAUACGGCCCGGCCUCCUACGGGAGGCAGCGGUGGGGAAUAUUGCACAAUGGGCGGAAGCCUGAUGCAGCAACGCCGCGUGCGGGAUGACGGCCUUCGGGUUGUAAACCGCUUUCGCCUGUGACGAAGCGUGAGUGACGGUAAUGGGUAAAGAAGCACCGGCUAACUACGUG
rnacentral:rRNA from 1 species